rnacentral:rRNA from 1 species
AAGGCGAAAAGAACCCCGGCGAGGGGAGUGAAACAGAACCUGAAACCGUGUACGUACAAGCAGUGGGAGCAUCCUUCGGGGUGUGACUGCGUACCUUUUGUAUAAUGGGUCAGCGACUUAUAUUCUGUAGCAAGGUUAACCGCAUAGGGGAGCCGCAGGGAAACCGAGUCUUAACUGGGCGUUAAGUUGCAGGGUAUAGACCCGAAACCCGGUGAUCUAGCCAUGGGCAGGUUGAAGGUUGGGUAACACUAACUAGAGGACCAAACCGACUAAUGUUGAAAAAUUAGCGGAUGACUUGUGGCUGGGGGUGAAAGGCCAAUCAAACCGGGAGAUAGCUGGUUCUCCCCGAAAGCUAUUUAGGUAGCGCCUCGUGAAUUCAUCUUCGGGGUAGAGCACUGAUUCGGCUAAGGGGUCAUCCCGACUUACCAACCGGAUGCAAACUACGAAUACCGAAGAAUGUUAUCACGGGAGACACACGGCGGGUGCUAACGUUCGUCGUGAAGAGGGAAACAACCCAGACCGCCAGCUAAGGUCCCAAAGUCAUGGUUAAGUGGGAAGCGAUGUGGGAAGGCAUAGACAGCCAGGAUGUUGGCUUAGAAGCAGCCAUCAUUUAAAGAAAGCGUAAUAGCUCACUGGUCGAGUUGGCCUGCGCGGAAGAUGUAACGGGGCUAAAUCAUGCACCGAAGCUACGGCAGCGACACUUAGUGUGUUGGGUAGGGGAGCGUUCUGUAAGCCAUUGAAGGUGAACUGUGGGGUUUACUGAAGGCAUCAGAAGUGCAAAUGCUGACAUAAGUAACGAUAAAGCGGGUGAAAAGCCUGCUCGCCGGAAGACCAAGGGUUCCUGUCCAACGUUAAUCGGGGCAGGGUGAGUCGACCCCCUAAGGCGAGGCCGAAAGGUGUAGUCGAUGGGAAACAGGUUAAUAUUCCUGUGCUUGGUGUUACUGCGAAGGGGGGGGCGGAGAAGGCUAUGUCAUCCGGGCGACGGUUGUCCCGGUUUAAGCGUGUAGGUGGGUAACUUUGGUAAAUCCGGGUUGCUAUUAAACACUGAGGCGUGA